GACGUAGGGCGCGAGCGUUGUCCGGAUUUAUUGGGCGUAAAGAGCUCGUAGGCGGCUUGUUGCGUCGGCUGUGAAAACCCGUGGCUUAACUGCGGGCUUGCAGCUGAUACGGGCGGGCUGGAGUUCGGUAGGGGAGACUGGAAUUCCUGGUGUAGCGGUGAAAUGCGCAGAUAUCAGGAAGAACACCCGUGGCGAAGGCGGCUCUCUGGGACGGUACUGACGCUGAGACGCGAAAGCGUGGGGAGCGAACAGG
rnacentral:rRNA from 1 species